rnacentral:tRNA from 1 species
UUUUGAUCUCCCAGUUGUAGGCUCAAUUCCUACUUUUUUA